rnacentral:rRNA from 1 species
UGCAGUCGAACGAACCUUCGGGUGAGUGGCGGACGGGUGAGUAACGCGUGGGAAUCUGCCCUCAGGAGGGGGAUAACGGCUGGAAACGGCCGCUAAUACCCCAUAUGCCGAGAGGUGAAAUGAAUUUCGCCUGAGGAUGAGCCCGCGUCUGAUUAGCUAGUUGGUGAGGUAAGAGCUCACCAAGGCAUCGAUCAGUAGCUGGUCUGAGAGGAUGAUCAGCCACACUGGGACUGAGACACGGCCCAGACUCCUACGGGAGGCAGCAGUGGGGAAUUUUCCGCAAUGGGCGAAAGCCCGACGGAGCAACGCCGCGUGAGGGAUGAAGGCCUCUGGGCUGUAAACCUCUUUUCUCAAGGAAGAAGAUCUGACGGUACUUGAGGAAUAAGCCACGGCUAAUUCCGUGCCAGCAGCCGCGGUAAUACGGGAGUGGCAAGCGUUAUCCGGAAUUAUUGGGCGUAAAGCGUCCGCAGGCGGCCCUUCAAGUCUGCUGUUAAAACGUGGAGCUUAACUCCAUCAUGGCAGUGGAAACUGUUGGGCUUGAGUGUGGUAGGGGCAGAGGGAAUUCCCGGUGUAGCGGUGAAAUGCGUAGAUAUCGGAAAGAACACCAGUGGCGAAGGCGCUCUGCUGGGCCAUAACUGACGCUCAUGGACGAAAGCCAGGGGAGCGAAAGGGAUUAGAUACCCCUGUAGUCCUGGCCGUAAACGAUGAACACUAGGUGUCGGGGGAAUCGACCCCCUCGGUGUCGUAGCCAACGCGUUAAGUGUUCCGCCUGGGGAGUACGCACGCAAGUGUGAAACUCAAAGGAAUUGACGGGGGCCCGCACAAGCGGUGGAAUUAUGUGGUUUAAUUCGAUGCAACGCGAAGAACCUUACCAGGGUUUGACAUCCUGCGAACCUCUUGGAAACGAGAGGGUGCCUUCGGGA